CGGUGAAGCAAGAGCCUGUCCUGGAAUAGAAGAGAGGCCUGGGGAGCCACCUGGCCCUGCCUGACAACGGAAAGGUGCUUGUCCCAGCACAGCGGCUAGAGAUGAAAGGGAAGGGGUACCUGGCUUUUUCUUCCGUGGGCCCUGAUGAGUUUGGGGCCUGGGCCCUGGGUGGGCUGGACUCAUGCCACACCACAUGCCACUGGCUCACACCUCGGGCUGAGCCAAUGAAACCUACCCAGGGGCUUAGUCUGUGGGCCUCAUGCAGGUACAGUUUAAAGGUUUCACUGUGUGUUCUCAGCUUUCUGUGCUUUCAGUCUUUUUUUUUUUUUCUUUCUUUCUUUGUGACAGUCUCACUCUGUUGCCC
rnacentral:lncRNA from 1 species